GACGAAGGUGGCAAGCGUUGCUCGGAAUCACUGGGCAUAAAGCGCGCGUAGGUGGCCUGACAAGUCAGUGGUGAAAUCCCAUCGCUCACCGAUGGAACUGCCGCCGAUACUGUCGGGCUUGAGGACGGUAGGGGAGAGUGGAACUCCUGGUGUAGCGGUGAAAUGCGUAGAUAUCAGGAGGAACGCCGGUGGCGAAAGCGACUCUCUGGGCUGUUCCUGACACUGAUGCGCGAGAGCUAGGGGAGCAAACAGG
rnacentral:rRNA from 1 species